UCCCGGGAACCACACCCACUUGGGCGCCGGCCGUGGCCAUUUUACAGCCGGCGCUAAAGGCCUGCCGCCCCCGCUGGCUGUGAAGGUGCAACUGGCCUUCGGCCCUGGGGGCCCGGCCUCUGCGGCGGCUGACGGGAUGCAUCCGCUUGAACUCAGUCCUUCCGCCUUCGCGCCGAUUCACGCGCAUCUCCCCCCAGCCCAUCCUGAGCCCGCGGGCCGAGCCCGGGACUUGGCCAACUCUGCGUCCCGGGAAAGUACCUGCUGGCCUGCCUUCAGGGGAAAAACUUGGUUUGGACAGAGAAGGCAUUCCGUUGAACAGCAGUCCUGGGGGAAAAACGGGGAAAACCUUGAUAUUUUGGCUUAUCAGCUGGGACGCAAAAUCCACUCUGCUGUAACAGUCAUCCCUUCGUCCUUCGGACUGGACCGGCAAGCAAAGCAAGGCGGUGCUGCGGGAGUCUGCACGUGCAAAGGCUGGCAGAAAGAAGCAGAAGCUAAAAUUACUGCAAGGUGCCAAACAGAGGAAGAUGACCCCAACUUUGUAUGAAUUUAAAUGUUGGACAUGUAAAUUUAAACAUAAACUGUUCUUUAACAAUUUUUA